CCGAAAGCCUGCACCACACAGAGCGGACCAACAAGUCCGGUCAACAGGAGCAAAGCUGCCCCGGAGAUACAGAGAAGAUGAGCCCGGAAAGCAGAUUGAAAGGGAGUGUGAGGGAGUGUGUUUUCUGGCCAAAUCCUACUGCACGAACCACUUUCUGACCACAACAACAAUUUACAGCAAUGGGAAACCAAGAAGCCAGGCUGCCAAUAUUCAGGGUGCGCGACCCUGACCCUGAUGACGUCACUCGUGGCCAAGUCAUCAUGCUUUCCUGGUCGUUGUCAGCAGCCCCCAUUAAUUUAUUUUUUCCACA